rnacentral:rRNA from 1 species
UACGUAGGGAGCAAGCGUUGUCCGGAAUCAUUGGGUCGUAAAGCGCGCGUAGGCGGCCCUGUAAGUCCGCUGUGAAAGUCAAAGGGCUCAACCCUUUGAAAGCCGGUGGAUACUGCAGGGCUAGAGUCCGGAAGAGGCGAGUGGAAUUCCUGGUGUAGCGGUGGAAUGCGCAGAUAUCAGGAGGAACACCAAUAGCGAAGGCAGCUCCGCUGGGACGGUACUGACGCUAAGGCGGCGAAAGCGUGGGGAGCGAACGAGGA